CUACAGGGCUGCCGGGAGAGAAAGGUGAAAAGGGUAAUACCGGUACCGGCACACAAGGUCCCAGAGGGCCACCGGGUCCACCAGGCCCUCAAGGUGAAGGCAGAACAGGAAGUCCAGGUCAGCCAGGUACUCAGGGUCUACGAGGCCCUCUUGGUCCUGCAGGACCACCGGGUUCAAGAGGACCUGCUGGAGCACCAGGAUACUGUGAUGCAUCAUCCUGUGCUGGUUACAGUGUUGGAGGUCAAGUACAGUAUAACGAUUACUAGCUCUGAACCGUAAAUACUGUGUACCAUUUUUUCCUGUGUGAGUCACCAUCCUAGGCCAUCAUGAAGCCAUUUUGAUAAAUAUACCUACAGCGCCUUCAGCCUUAUGUGCCUCAUACCUGUGCAAUACCAGCAUCCAGCUUAUCUCCUGGCAGCUUUCCAGACUGAGCUAUUGUUUCCAAAACAGAAUCAGCCUGUAACUUAUUUUUAUAAAGUUUAUAAAAUAGUCCAUUAAGCUAAUAAGAAGACGUGCUGAGAAGUAGAAAAUGUGCUUCAAGUGUUUCCUUAUUUUUGUCCAUAGUCUUGUCUAUGUUUUUGUCUCUGAUACGUUUUUGUAUCUUUAUGCUAUUGAAUAGUUUAAUACACAGUGUAAAUUAAAUUUAUUUAAAUGUAAAUCUCUGGUUUAAUAGUUGUUUUAGCUUGAUUUUUCUGCUGCCUUCAUUUUUGUCUGCUAACUUUAUGAAUACUCUUGGUGGUGGUGGUGGGUAAAGGUGGAUAUGGUGACCCAACAGAUCAAGACAUCCCUGUAGUUCAGUUACCUCCUAACUCCUACCAGAUCUAUAAUCCCGAGGACCCCUAUGAUGAAGAGGAACAAGAGACAUACAUAAGUCAUGGGUCUUACCCCAGGCCAGUCCCAUAUCCACGGCUUUCCUAUCCACAGCCUCAGCCACUUCAGCCCGAGUUCACACCAGUUCAAGAGGAUGAAGACUCCAUCGAAAUGAGAUCACCUGGCAUGGCUCGUAAUACAAGGGACCUGUCAAAAAGGAUCAUCAGAACAUCAAAACACAAGAGGAUAAAUGUAUAUAAAAAUUAGAUUUAAGGCCAGUGGCUUGGUAAGUAAGCAUAGUGUAGUUUCAGCUAAAACAGGAAGAAUUUAUAUCUAAAGGUGUACUGACAGAGAGCUACAUCUGCACUGCAUUGUUGACAAACAUCUACUUGUAUGCUAGUAAUGCAAGAGGAAUGCCAUAAUGAUUAAAAUGUUGCUAUAUUCUACUGCACAUAAAACAUAAAUGGCAUGUGAAGAUUGUUAUCUAAAUAUAUAAGACAGUAAUGGAGAACUCAUCAAAAUGUAAUAAAUAUAUUUGAAAACAUGUUCCUUAUAUUUAUAAGCAUCUGGUAAGCUUACUGCCUGUAAAUGUAAGUGGGAUAGUAUAUGGUACAUUAAAUAUAAAGUGCUAACACGUUUAGGGUUUCGCUAGCUAUUAUCAUUGUGCCCGAUCUGUCUGCCAGUCAGCAGGAAUCAAACUGACAUGAUAAUAUUUCACAAACUGUGCUGUUCUUUAACCGAGUAAACAAAGCCCUUAGCUGGGUCCCAAUCAAGUACUUCAAGAAACAGAUUAACUAAGUAAUAUUCCUUAGUUAACAGACUCUGCCUACACAUAUAAGCACAUCUGAAACAUUAUGUAUAUAUAUAUAAAUAUAUAUAUAUAUAUAUAUAUAUAUAUAUAUAUAUAUAUAUAUAUAUAUGUAUGUAUGUAUUUCUGUAAUAGAACUGUUUAUAAAUUGUCAAGAGCCGUUUUACAUAUUUUAGGACCAUCACCACUACAAGUGGAACUAAUUUAAUUAGUUCUGCUAGAGUUGAAAUAAAUAUAUUAUUUCAGCUCUUAGUCAUUAAACUGACAUCAUGAAAAGGCAAAAAAAAAAAAUAAAUAUAUAUAUAUAUAUAUAUAUAUAUAUAUAUAUAUAUAUAUAUACCGAGAUUCUAGUAGCAAGUGUUCUAUCAAUGGCUAAAUACAUGGCAGCAUAUGAUAGGCAGUCACCACCGAAACAUCUGUUAAGCAGCUGUUCUCUGAUUGGUGAAAUAUUCAGAAGCAUGUGUAGCCUCUUCCACAACAAGCUUCAAGACUCCAUUUGGUUUUAAUUCAUACUGAAUGUCUUAAGUGAAAAUGCCAGCUUCUUUGAGAAACUAAAUUUUGAAUGGCAGAGUUUGAGUUUAUAAUUUUAUAAGUGAAUGUAUUUUUUGUCUGAAAUUGAUUGAAGCACACAAGGAGGCCAAGACCUCCGCAGCAGAAAAAAAUCACAUGCACUCAUGUGGUCCUAUAUAUCCCAGUAUCUUUCUCUCUCCACACUGGGCAUUACUGCAUACACAAAGUUUAGUAUUCUGUUCAAGUAAAUUUCAAUAAUUUAUUCCAUUGUGUGUGAUGCUCCAAUACUAUUAUUUUGUAUGCUUGGACAUUAUUUGGAAAUGUGGUGGCUUCUUUUCUCUAACUUACUAAAGAGGUGCUAUCAUAAUUUCAGAGGUCAGUUGUACAUUUAGCAGUAUAGUUGUCAUGAACCAGAAUGUUGUGCACUGAAUAAAAUGCAAUUCUGUAAAAGGUGUGCUUGCACAGUUGUCUUGAAACUGUUCACUCUGUGCCUUAGAUUUAUGUAUUCUGAGCUAGUUAAAUUCAGAUUAAAUAACAAUCUAUGUUUACAUAUUUUGUUUAUAAUAAACCAGUUUCAAUAAAGAUUUAUCUAUGUAGUAUGGUACUAAUGUAAUGGAUGUUCUUCUAAGCUAUGAGUCUUUAUUAGAUUAUUUUAGAAUAUUCACAAAUAUCUGAUCUUUGUAAAUGAAGAGCUGUUAAGUGUAUUGAUACAGAGCUUUACAUAAUAUAAAUGUCAUUAAAAAGGUAUGAGUAUGUUUGUGAAGUCAUUGCAUACUAUAAAAAGCAUGUUUGUUGAGAAGCAUUGUUUAAAAAGCUACAAUGUAAAAAGAUUUCUGUACAGUAACCACACCAAAGAAACUUGGUGAUAUUUUAGCCAAAGUAGGAAGUAAUUUAUUUUUUACCUUGUGUUUUUUGGUAAGCAAAUAAAAAUGGAAACAUCA